rnacentral:tRNA from 1 species
GGGGCCUUAGCUCAGAUGGGAGAGCGCCUGCUUUGCACGCAGGAGGUCAGGGGUUCGAUUCCCCUAGGCUCCACCA